GCCUUGGUGAUUCUUCAGGGUUGGUGGUGACUGGGGAGCCACACCAGGGUGGCAAACCUAGGAUAAAAAGCCGACGGGAAAGAGUGGUUCGGUGCCACUGGGUCCCUGGAAGCCUUAAGUGAUGUGGGCAUAACUGAGAGGAGCCACAGAGAGUUCGGUGCCCAAACAUAUAACCCCAAAGACACAGCUGGCAACUUUGAGACCCUUGAGUGUGGGCAGCCACAUUGAGUUACCCGUCUUCCAGUCCUGAGGCACCUCGGAGACCUGAAAGAUGACUGCAGUCUGGCACCUCCAGACUCUUUUCUGCUCGGACAGCAAGGCCAAGUCUUCUGAGCAGGCAGACCCUGGGAUGUCAGUCAACCUGCUGACAGCAGACAUCAAGAAGC